AUUGAACGCUGGCGGCAUGCCUUACACAUGCAAGUCGAACGGCAGCACGGGUGCUUGCACCUGGUGGCGAGUGGCGAACGGGUGAGCAAUACAUCGGAACGUACCUUAUCGUGGGGGAUAACGCAGCGAAAGCUGUGCUAAUACCGCAUACGCCCUGAGGGGGAAAGCGGGGGAUCGCAAGACCUCGCGCGAUUAGAGCGGCCGAUGCCUGAUUAGCUUGUUGGUGGGGUAAAAGCCCACCAAGGCGACGAUCAGUAGCUGGUCUGAGAGGACGAUCAGCCACAAGGGGACUGAGAAACGGCCCAGACUCCUACGGGAGGCAGCAGUGGGGAAUUUUGGACAAUGGGGGCAACCCUGAUCCAGCAAUGCCGCGUGAGUGAAGAAGGCCUUCGGGUUGUAAAGCUCUUUUGUCAGGGAAGAAACACCGGCUCUAACACAGUCCGGGAACGACGGUACCUGAAGAAUAAGCACCGGCUAACUACGUGCCAGCAGCCGCGGUAA
rnacentral:rRNA from 1 species